rnacentral:rRNA from 1 species
UAAGGGAUAUUGCGCAAUGGGGGAAACCCUGACGCAGCAACGCCGCGUGGAGGAUGACACUUUUCGGAGCGUAAACUCCUUUUAUCAGGAAAGAAUAAUGACGGUACCUGAUGAAUAAGCACCGGCUAACUCCGUGCCAGCAGCCGCGGUAAUACGGGGGGUGCAAGCGUUACUCGGAAUCACUGGGCGUAAAGGACGCGUAGGCGGAUUAUCAAGUCUUUUGUGAAAUCUAGUGGCUUAACCACUAAACUGCUUAGGAAACUGAUAGUCUAGAGUAGGGGAGAGGUAGAUGGAAUUCUUGGUGUAGGGGUAAAAUCCGUAGAGAUCAAGAAGAAUACCCAUUGCGAAAGCGAUCUGCUGGAACCUAACUGACGCUGAGGCGUGAAAGCGUGGGUAGCAAACAGG